GACGAACGCUGGCGGCGUGCUUAACACAUGCAAGUCGAACGAAGAGCGACGGAAGCUUGCUUCUCCCAAUCUUAGUGGCGAACGGGUGAGUAACGCGUAAUCAACCUGCCCUUCAGAGGGGGACAACAGUUGGAAACGACUGCUAAUACCGCAUACGAUCUAGUCUCGGCAUCGAGGAUGGAUGAAAGGUGGCCUCUACAUGUAAGCUAUCACUGAAGGAGGGGAUUGCGUCUGAUUAGCUAGUUGGAGGGGUAACGGCCCACCAAGGCGAUGCUCAGUAGCCGGUCUGAGAGGAUGAACGGCCACAUUGGGACUGAGACACGGCCCAGACUCCUACGGGAGGCAGCAGUGGGGAAUCUUCCGCAAGGGACGAAAGUCUGACGGAGCAACGCCGCGUGAGAGAUGACGGCCUUCGGGUUGUAAAGCUCGGUUAAUCGGGACGAAAGGCCUUCUUGCGAAUAGUGAGAAGGAUUGACGGUACCGGAAUAGAAAGCCACGGCUAACUACGUG
rnacentral:rRNA from 1 species